GGGGGCGUCACGGUUUCGACGUGUUCGGUGAAGGUGGAGUAGCGUGCCGAGGUCUCGAUCCUCGUAAAUAAUUCGGGAAAAAUUCUAAUUGCCAACACUGAUAUGGCAUUGGCCGCUUAAGUAACCCUUAAGUAGCUCGUUUCCUGAGUCGCCCGCCCGAGGCGUCUCCUGAAGCGACGAUAAUUCGGGCUGGUCCCCCCGCUUUGCCACCGGGUGGGGGGCGAGAUUUUAGGUGGCUGGCCGAGGGUCCGGUUGUUCGCUGGCCCCCCGAGGCGAGACUAAUCAGCGCUCUACGCACGUAGAAGCUUCUCGGGAUCCGAUCGCGGACGCGGGUUCGACUCCCGCCGCCUCCAUCA
rnacentral:tmRNA from 1 species